rnacentral:lncRNA from 1 species
GGCCAGCAUUUAGAAACCCGGAAGGUACUCUAUUCCUCUAGGGCAGGCAAGGUAACUUCUGGGGCCCUCUCACUCCACUUACUGCAUCUGCAAGGUGACAGGAUGUUGUGGAUCCUACAGACUUGACUUUCCCAGUGUGGGCUAGGCCUAGGCUAGGCUAGGACAGAAGUUGGCCCAGAACAGGGGCUUUAUUUCUGUAAAGAGAGUGACUUUGCCUGCUAAUGCCUUUAGAUAUAGACCUGUCCUUCUUGGUUUCUAUGUUUGCCAAGGCAGGAGGAUCACAAGUUCAAGGUCUACCUUGGCUACAGAGUUUAGGAUUCUUCCUCGGCCACAGCUCAGUGGAAAAACACCUAGGAAGUGUGAGGUUCUGGGGUCCUUUCCCAGUACCAAAACACAGGCAGAAAGACCUUGGAGUUUCACGUAAAAUCUUUCCAUUGUCAGCUGUUGGCAAACCAUGUGUAGAUUGGGGCCCUGAUGUAUCAGUGUGCAUCACUGUUCUCCACUCCUUGAAAAGUCAGAUAGGAUGUAGGGACUUGGUGAAGGCUGUGUCCCCUGGCCUAGAUAGAGUACUGCGGGGAUGGUAUGGAGGGGCAGAACCAUGUCUCCCAGAAUCCCAUUCCAGCAUGGGACUGCACAGUUUCUGAUUACUGCCAAUCUGCCUUCCCAGUUUAUGCUGCUGGCAAAGCAGCCACCUCAGGUGUCCCGAGCAUCUAUGCCCCCAGCAUCUAUACCCACCUCUCACCUGCCAAGACCCCACCACCUCCGCCUGCCAUGAUUCCCAUGGGCCCUCCCUAUGGGUACCCUGGAGACUUUGACAGACAUAGCUCAGUUGGUGGCCACAGCUCCCAAGUACCCCUGCUGCGUGACGUGGAUGGCAGUGUAUCUUCA